GAACGCUAGCCGGGAGAAUCCUGUUUGCUGCUGUGGCCCGCGGCGCCUUCCAGAGGCGGCGGAUUUGGUACGGUUCCCAUUCCGGAAUGGCGCACAAGACGUGACGAAACUCACCUCUGCUCGGGCGCGGGGAAUUAACCCGUGGAACCACGCAGAGAACAUGACGCCCCACUUGCUCUCGAACUGUCCAGAGUGCCGUGCAAGCUCCUUACGCCUCCAUUCCACCAGCCUGGUGUGACAUGACACAAACAGUUACAUGCAUGUCAAUCAAGGUUUCCAAUACAGUUGUUUGGCUGGCAGCAACAGUGCGGCAUGGUCAAUGUGGCUUUCUGAGUGAAUUGAUGUAUAUAAUUGUCCUUAG